UCCGUGCCAGCAGCCGCGGUAAUACGGAGGGGUGCAAGCGUUAAUCGGAUUUACUGGGCGUAAAGCGCACGCAGGCGGUCUGUCAAGUCGGAUGUGAAAUCCCCGGGCUCAACCUGGGAACUGCAUUCGAAACUGGCAGGCUAGAGUCUUGUAGAGGGGGGUAGAAUUCCAGGUGUAGCGGUGAAAUGCGUAGAGAUCUGGAGGAAUACCGGUGGCGAAGGCGGCCCCCUGGACAAAGACUGACGCUCAGGUGCGAAAGCGUGGGGAGCAAACAGGAUUAGAUACCCUGGUAGUCCACGCUGUAAACGAUGUCGAUUUGGAGGUUGUGCCCUUGAGGCGUGGCUUCCGGAGCUAACGCGUUAAAUCGACCGCCUGGGGAGUACGGCCGCAAGGUUAAAACUCAAAUGAAUUGACGGGGGCCCGCACAAGCGGUGGAGCAUGUGGUUUAAUUCGAUGCAACGCGAAGAACCUUACCUGGUCUUGACAUCCACAGAACUUUCCAGAGAUGGAUUGGUGCCUUCGGGAACUGUGAGACAGGUGCUGCAUGGCUGUCGUCAGCUCGUGUUGUGAAAUGUUGGGUUAAGUCCCGCAACGAGCGCAACCCUUAUCCUUUGUUGCCAGCGGUUAGGCCGGGAACUCAAAGGAGACUGCCAGUGAUAAACUGGAGGAAGGUGGGGAUGACGUCAAGUCAUCAUGGCCCUUACGACCAGGGCUACACACGUGCUACAAUGGCAUAUACAAAGAGAAGCGACCUCGCGAGAGCAAGCGGACCUCAUAAAGUAUGUCGUAGUCCGGAUUGGAGUCUGCAACUCGACUCCAUGAAGUCGGAAUCGCUAGUAAUCGUAGAUCAGAAUGCUACGGUGAAUACGUUCCCGGGCCUUGUACACACCGCCCGUCACACCAUGGGAGUGGGUUGCAAAAGAAGUAGGUAGCUUAACCUUCGGAGGGC
rnacentral:rRNA from 1 species